rnacentral:rRNA from 1 species
UGCCAGACUCCUACGGGAGGCAGCAGUGGGGGAUAUUGCACAAUGGGGGGAACCCUGAUGCAGCGACGCCGCGUGGGUGAAGGAGUGCUUCGGCAUGUAAAGCCCUAUCGGCAGGGAAGAAGCAAGACGGUACCUGACUAAGAAGCCCCGGCUAACUACGUGCCAGCAGCCGCGGUAAUACGUAGGGGGCGAGCGUUAUCCGGAUUCACUGGGGGUAAAGGGAGCGUAGGCGGCCAUGCAAGCCAGGGGGGAAAGCCCGGGGCCCAACCCCGGGACUGCCCUUGGAACUGCAUGGCUGGAGUGCGGGAGGGGCAGGCGGAAUUCCUGGUGUAGCGGUGAAAUGCGUAGAUAUUAGGAAGAACACCAGUGGCGAAGGCGGCUUUCUGGACUGAAACUGACGCUGAGGCACGAAAGCGUGGGGAGCGAACAGGAUUAGAUACCCCCGUAACA